rnacentral:rRNA from 1 species
CCUACGGGGGGCUGCAGUCGAGAAUCAUUCACAAUGGGGGAAACCCUGAUGGUGCGACGCCGCGUGGGGGAAUGAAGGUCUUCGGAUUGUAAACCCCUGUCAUGUGGGAGCAAAUUAAAAAGAUAGUACCACAAGAGGAAGAGACGGCUAACUCUGUGCCAGCAGCCGCGGUAAUACAGAGGUCUCAAGCGUUGUUAGGAAUCACUGGGCGUAAGGCGUGCGUAGGCUGUUUCGUAAGUCGUGUGUGAAAGGCGCGGGCUCAACCCGCGGACUGCACAUGAUACUGCGAGACUAGAGUAAUGGAGGGGGAACCGGAAUGCUCGGUGUAGCAGUGAAAUGCGUAGAUAUCGAGAGGAACACUCGUGGCGAAGGCGGGUUCCUGGACAUUAACUGACGCUGAGGCACGAAGGCCAGGGGAGCGAAAGGGAUUAGAUACCCGUGUAGUC